CAGCAGCCGCGGUAAAACGUAGGUGGCAAGCGUUAUCCGGAAUUAUUGGGCGUAAAGGGCUCGCAGGCGGUUUCUUAAGUCUGAUGUGAAAGCCCCCGGCUCAACCAGGGAGGGUCAUUGGAAACUGGGAAACUUGAGUGCAGAGGAGGAGAGUGGAAUUCCACGUGUAGCGGUGAAAUGCGUAGAGAUGUGGAGGAACACCAGUGGCGAAGGCGACACUCUGGUCUGUAACUGACGCUGAGGAGCGAAAGCGUGGGGAGCGAACAGGAUUAGAUACCCCCGUAGUCCCUGUCUCUUAUAC
rnacentral:rRNA from 1 species